ensembl:lncRNA
GAGAAAGUGUGUGUUGGGGAUAGAUAAACUACCUGGUAAAGGGUUUGAACAUAUACAAAGUGUUAAAAUUUUAUUAAAAGAAAAAUGUUGGGGUUUGAAAAAAAUGGACCAUCAUUCCUCAUUGGAACACCAUAGCUCAUUAAAAGAAAAAAAGAAAAAAGAAAAAAAAAAACACAAACCAGCAUGGUUUGACAUCAUGUGGGGUCAUGAACAAAUCUGUCUCAUGCUUUGAAAAGUACAUUCAGCAAAAUUUUAAAAAUAAAAGUUUUUAGACAAAUGUGAUAAGGAACCGUCAUCUCCAGUCUCGAUAGGUGGUCAUUUGUAAUUUUCAUAAAAGCAGUUCGUUUGCAGUAUGGCUUUUGUGUAGCUAGGGGGUUUUUAGUGUGAAGAAAGGUAUGUGGGCUUUAAAAGUGAUUUUAAACCUUGAAUAGAAAAAUCACAUAAAUUGGCUUUAAUAAAAAUGUCACCUUUUAUUAUUGACAUUAAUUUAAGUAAUCAUACCAUGUAUUUUUAAAUACACGUCUGACUUGAAUCGUGAGGCAAUAAGAUACUGUCGAUGUGAUGAUCACAGAACCAACCCUUAUAGUUUUACUUAUUUUGUUUACUCUAUAAAUCUAUAGCAGAGUUUCUCUAUUUUGUAUUUCAUAGAUUUAAAGAAAUCCCAAAUAAAGAUGGAUUUUAGAUUCACUGUGGACAAGAAUAUUGAAUAAGAAAGUUUAAAAAGCAAGCAAAUCCUCAAUAAUCUGGAAUAGUCUACACAGCUUUAGAAAUAUACUAAGAUGCGGGACUGUCUUUAACAUCACUGUCAGCUCCAGGCAGGGUACACACAUUAGGUAUUGUUUAAAAUAAUAAAACCAAAAAAAAAAAAUCCAAACUUUUCUUCUGUCGUUUGCACUGAUACUAUUUUUCUUCUGUGUUUAUCCAACAUGUUUAUAUUGUGUGGGGGAAAUUCUGUUUUACUUUCUUGCUUUUCUGGUGAUCCUGGUUUGAUUUUCUUGUUUUGUUUUUGGCUAAGUAGAGGACAUGGACUAGUUGUAGCAAGCAAAACACCCCGUUUGCUCUUCUCAGUGAGUACAUGCUCUGCAGUGGUGGUAACUUAGAGGACGAGAUGGUAACAAAGCUUGAACUAUGAAGGUUAUGGUGUGACUAUUUUGGUACUAGAACCAGUUCAUGCUGGCCAAAAAGACAAUGGUUUUUGGACUUGCAUCCAUUUUGUAUUUUUGUAACAUUUGUAAAUACAAACUUUUUAAAUUGUUGCAAAGAUGGUUUCUUUUGUAAGAUGUUUUCAACGUUUACAUUCAAUCCAAGCCUUUGUAUAUUUUAGAGCUGUGCAACACUUUAAGUCUUGUAUUUAUUUUUAGUAAAAACGGUGACAGUUUCAUUGUGAACCCCUCUCCAAAAAAUGUAUCAGAAAAGUUUGAUUACCUAGAAAGUGUGUAUAGAGACUGCAAAUAAACGUGACUGCAAUUAAAC